UUUGAGCUGUUCUGUCAGAAUUUCCUUCCUCCAGCAUUUAUAAGCUUUUUUUUUUGGACAGUGUUGAGGUGUUAUUUUAAGUCAUACCUGCCAAUAUUUAGGUUUCAAAAUGGGAGGGGGGAUUUUAAUUUAGUUGUCCCGUCUUCCUGCGCAGAGGGCAGCUGCGCACACGCCCCUUGGCUCGUGGUGUGGGUUGCCAGGUAACGGUAACAGGUGGGUUGAAAUUGUAUGUAGUGUGUGGAUUGCGUGUGUGUAUAGACUGUGUUUCAUAGACGACCUGGCAACUUGGCUGACGUCAGAAUAACAUCGAAAACUUGGAUCCGUGUAUUCAUUAUAAAGUUUGAGGGCCAUGCAUCAUUACGGGAGUUUCCCGGGAGAAACAACAAAACGGGAGGGCGCCGGGAGAUGGCCUUGAAACUCGGGAGAUGGCCUUGAAACUCGGGAGAAACGGGAGUAACGGGAGUGUUGGCAGGUUCAAUGUGGAAAAUGUGGCAUCACUGAAACCACUGCUGCUGCCGUCCAAGUCUCCCAAAAUAAAAAGUAACCCUACCCUCCUCUUUUAUUCCGCUCUUUCCAACUCCAGCUCUCCCUUUCUCUCUGCUUUCUCUCUUCCUCUCCCUGCCAAACUGCUCCACCCUGCCCAAUGCACAGGAGUGGGAUAAUGAUCUAAAUCUUUCUUUGCUGAUUUCUUUCUUUCUUAAUUUAAUUUAUCUUCUCAUAUGUGUGCAUGUGUCUGCCUGACUCAUCUCGCUGUCUCUGCCUCCGUAUGUCACUGAUCAGACCAUGAGUGGGUGGGGAUGUUAAACAAAAUCCUUGGAGAUGCAACAGAGAGCUCUUUUGCUUUUGUGAAGCCCCUGAUUCCCUCAGCAAGUCAACCACAAAAAUCACCAAAGUCACACAACUUAAAUCAUGCCAUUAUAACUUGCUGCCACUGGGAUCUGACAACUUUGCAAGCUAUAAACUGAGCGUUAUAACUGCUGACUAAACGUUUUCCCAAAUCAAAUGCAUGCCUUCAUGAGAAGUUAAUGAUUAAAGUAAACUAUGUAUUAAAAUGAUGCUGUUUUGAAGCACACGUGGAAGUCUGGCUGUUUGUAAAAUGUUAAAGUAUCUGUAUCGAGUAUAUGCUGAUCUUAAAAAUGUACUGUAAAGUAGAGUUAAGGCAGACAGCACUUAAAAUGUCACAUUGCCAUAGGUCAAAAACAGAAAACCCUAUUACAGCAGCCUUUCAUGGGACUUAAAAAUGAAAAUAUAGUUGAGGACACAAGCACUUUGAGUCCCUGAAGGAGUU